rnacentral:rRNA from 1 species
UGAGGAAUAUUGGACAAUGGAUGGAAAUCUGAUCCAGCCAUGCCGCGUGAAGGACGACGGUCCUAUGGAUUGUAAACUUCUUUUGUAUGGGAGCAAUAAGGUCUACGUGUAGAUCGAUGAGAGUACCAUACGAAUAAGCAUCGGCUAACUCCGUGCCAGCAGCCGCGGUAAUACGGAGGAUGCGAGCGUUAUCCGGAUAUAUUGGGUUUAAAGGGUGCGUAGGCGGUUGUAUAAGUCAGCGGUGAAAUUUUCCGGCUUAACCGGGAGACUGCCGUUGAUACUGUAUAGCUUGAAUACGGUAGCUGUGAGUGGAAUGUGUGGUGUAGCGGUGAAAUGCAUAGAUAUCACACAGAAUAUCGAUUACGAAGGCAGCUCACAAAGCCGUUAUUGACGCUGAUGCACGAAAGUGUGGGGAUCAAACA